UGUGUGUGUGUGUGUGUGUGUGUGUGUGUACACGCACAUACACAUGCGCGCACACACACACA
rnacentral:miRNA from 1 species